rnacentral:tRNA from 1 species
GUCUUCGUGGUGUAGUGGUCAGCACGCUCGGUCCGUAUUCAAAAUGUUCGAGUUCGAGUCCCGGCGAGGGCA